UACGAAGGGGGCUAGCGUUGCUCGGAAUCACUGGGCGUAAAGCGCACGUAGGCGGAUUGUUAAGUCAGGGGUGAAAUCCUGGAGCUCAACUCCAGAACUGCCUUUGAUACUGGCGAUCUCGAGUCCGGGAGAGGUGAGUGGAACUGCGAGUGGUAGAGGUGAAAUUCGUAGAUAUUCGCAAAGAACGACCAGUGGCGAAGG
rnacentral:rRNA from 1 species